CCAAUAGCGUAUAUUAAAGUUGUUGCAGUUAAAAAGCUCGUAGUUGAAUUUCGGGGUUAGUAGGUUGGUCGUGCCUAUGGUAUGUACUGGCUUUACUGAUUCCUCCUUCUUGAAGAACUGUAAUGUCAUUAAUUUGGUGUUGCAGGGACACAGGACUGUUACUUUGAAAAAAUUAGAGUGUUUAAAGCAGGCUAACGCUUGAAUACAUUAGCAUGGAAUAAUGAAAUAGGACGUUUGAUCCUAUUUUGUUGGUUUCUAGGAUUGACGUAAUGAUUAAUAGGGAUAGUUGGGGGCAUUAGUAUUCAAUUGUCAGAGGUGAAAUCCUUGGAUUUAUUGAAGACUAACUACUGCGAAAGCAUUUGCCAAGGAUGUUUUCAUUAAUCAAGAACGAAAGUUAGGGGAUCGAAGACGAUCAGAUACCGUCGUAGUCUUAACCAUAAACUAUGCCGACUAGGGAUCGGAUGAUGUUAAUUUUUUAAUGACUCAUUCGGCGCCUUACG
rnacentral:rRNA from 1 species